GGAGUGGGAGUCUGUUGCUAAGGAGUGAGGUGGUAAUGUCAAGCUAGGGAAAGAAAAGAGUUAUCUGAUCUUGAUUCAGAGACAAGAGGUAUGGUUGAGAAGAUGAUGUAUGAUCAGAGACAGAAAGAGAGGUCUUCCCAUGUGUGCUGAACAAAAGAAGCAAGAUACAUGUAUAUUGAAGAAGU